rnacentral:rRNA from 1 species
UACGGAGGGUCCAAGCGUUAUCCGGAUUCAUUGGGCUUAAAGGGUGCGUAGGCGGAUUGUUAAGUCAGUGGUGAAAGCCUGCAGCUUAACUGCAGAACUGCCAUUGAUACUGGCAAUCUUGAGUACAUUUGAUGUGGGCGGAAUGUGUCAUGUAGCGGUGAAAUGCUUAGAUAUGACAAAGAACACCGAUUGCGAAGGCAGCUCACAAAACUGUAACCGACGCUGAGGCACGAAAGCGUGGGUAUCAAACAGG